rnacentral:rRNA from 1 species
UACGGAGGAUCCGAGCGUUAUCCGGAUUUAUUGGGUUUAAAGGGAGCGUAGGCGGACGCUUAAGUCAGUUGUGAAAGUUUGCGGCUCAACCGUAAAAUUGCAGUUGAUACUGGGUGUCUUGAGUACAGUAGAGGCAGGCGGAAUUCGUGGUGUAGCGGUGAAAUGCGUAGAUAUCACGAAGAACUCCUAUUGCGAAGGCAGCUUGCUGGAGUGUAACUGACGCUGAUGCUCGAAAGUGUGGGUAUCAAACAGG